CAACACUGUUUAUAUGCC
rnacentral:misc_RNA from 1 species